ACGCUGGCGGCAGGCCUAACACAUGCAAGUCGAGCGGCAGCGGGAAGUAGCUUGCUACUUUGCCGGCGAGCGGCGGACGGGUGAGUAAUGUCUGGGAAACUGCCUGAUGGAGGGGGAUAACUACUGGAAACGGUAGCUAAUACCGCAUGACGUCGCAAGACCAAAGUGGGGGACCUUCGGGCCUCACGCCAUCGGAUGUGCCCAGAUGGGAUUAGCUAGUAGGUGAGGUAAUGGCUCACCUAGGCGACGAUCCCUAGCUGGUCUGAGAGGAUGACCAGCCACACUGGAACUGAGACACGGUCCAGACUCCUACGGGAGGCAGCAGUGGGGAAUAUUGCACAAUGGGCGCAAGCCUGAUGCAGCCAUGCCGCGUGUGUGAAGAAGGCCUUAGGGUUGUAAAGCACUUUCAGCGAGGAGGAAGGCGUUGUAGUUAAUAGCUGCAACGAUUGACGUUACUCGCAGAAGAAGCACCGGCUAACUCCGUGCCAGCAGCCGCGGUAAUACGGAGGGUGCAAGCGUUAAUCGGAAUUACUGGGCGUAAAGCGCACGCAGGCGGUUUGUUAAGUCAGAUGUGUAAUCCCCGAGCUUAACUUGGGAACUGCAUUUGAAA
rnacentral:rRNA from 1 species